AUGAAAUUAAUGAUACGUAAUUGCCCUACUCAUGGUUUAAAUUUGUGGAUGAUUAUACAAAAUUUUAAUGCCGGAUUGAAUUUUGCUUCUAGAAAUCUUUUAGAUUCGGCCGCGGGAGGCACUUUUAUGGAAAUCACUUUAGGAGAAGCCACUAAGCUCCUAGAUAAUAUUAUGGUUAAUUAUUCUCAAUGGCAUACUAAAAGAUCUACUAAUAAAAAGGUGCAUGCGAUAGAAGAAAUUAAUGUUUUGAGUGGAAAUAUGGAUGAACUUAUGAAAUUAUUUGCUAGUAAGAGUGUUUCUUCUGAUCCUAAUGAUAUGCCCUUGUCUACUUUGAUUGAGAAUAAUAAUGAAUCUAUGGAUGUGAAUUUUGUUGGUAGGAACAAUUUUGGUAACAACGCGUAUAGAGAAAAUUUUAAUCCUAGGCCUUAUCCUAGUAAUCCCUCUAAUAAUUAUGGUAAUUCCUACAACAAUUCUUAUGGAAAUUAUAAUAAUAUGCCCUCUGAUUUUGAAUCUAAUAUUAAAGAAUUUAUUACUUCGCAAAAGAAUUUUAAUGCUAUGAUUGAGGACAAAUUGCUUAAGAUUGAUGAUUUGGCUAGGAACGUUGAUAGAAUUUCUCUUGAUGUUGAUUCUUUGAAACUUAGAUCUAUUCCACCUAAGCAUGAUAUCAAUGAGUCUCUCAAAGCCAUGAGAAUUUCCAUUGAUGAGUGCAAAGAAAGAACCGCUAGGAUGUGUGCUGAGAAAGAUGCAUUUAUAAGAGCGUGUUCUUCUAGUUCCUAUGAAAAUAAAGAUGAAGAUCUAAAAGUUAUUGAUGUGUCCCCUAUUAAAUCUUUGUUUUGCAAUAUGAAUCUUGAUAAUGAUGGGACUCAAUAUGAUCCACCUUUACCUAGAAGGCGUUCCAAGAAUUAG
rnacentral:rRNA from 1 species